ACGGGGAAUUAGGGUUCGAUUCCGGAGAGGGAGCCUGAGAAACGGCUACCACAUCUAAGGAAGGCAGCAGGCGCGCAAAUUACCCAAUCCUAAUACAGGGAGGUAGUGACAAGAAAUAACAAUACAGAGCCUUACGGUUUUGUAAUUGGAAUGAGUUAAGUAUAAACCCCUUAACAAGUAUCAAUUGGAGGGCAAGUCUGGUGCCAGCAGCCGCGGUAAUUCCAGCUCCAAUAGCGUAUAUUAAAGUUGUUGCAGUUAAAAAGCUCGUAGUUAAUUUUCUGU
rnacentral:rRNA from 1 species